rnacentral:rRNA from 1 species
GACGAACGCUGGCGGCGUGCUUAACACAUGCAAGUCGAACGGAAAGUCCCUGCUGUUGUUGGGUACUCGAGUGGCGAACGGGUGAGUAACACUGGAUUAACCUGCCCUUGACUGUGUGAUAACUUCAGGAAACUGUGGGUAAUACUGGAUAGUAGCGCCUGCUGCUUGUUGUGGGUUGGAAAUUUUCGGCGGGUGGGAAUGGACUCGCGGCUAAUCGGCUUGUUGGUGGGGUAGUUGGUUGCUAAGGCAUUGACGGGUAGCCGGCCUGAGAAGGUGACAGGCCACAGUGGGACUCGGGUGCGGGCCAGAGUCCUACGGGAGGCAGCAGUGAGGAAUAUAGCAAGAUGCGCGGAAGCCUGAUGCAGCAACUCCGCGUGCUGGAUGACGGCCUUAGGGUUGUAAACCGCUUUCGCCUGUGACGAAGAGUGAGUGACGGUAAUGGGUAAAGAAGCACCGGCUAACUACGUG